rnacentral:rRNA from 1 species
GAUGAACGCUGGCGGCGUGCCUAAUACAUGCAAGUCGAGCGAACAGACGACGAGCUUGCUCCUCUGACGUUAGCGGCGGACGGGUGAGUAACACGAGGAUAACCUACCUAUAAGACUGGGAUAACUUCGGGAAACCGGAGCCAAUACCGGCCAAUAUCUUGAACCGCAUGGUUUAAUAGUGAAAGACGGCUGUGCUGUCACUUAUAGCCGGAUCCGCGCCGCAUUAGCUAGUUGGUAAGGUAACGGCUUACCAAGGCGACGAUGCGUAGCCGACCUGAGAGGGUGAUCGGCCACACUGGAACUGAGACACGGUCCAGACUCCUACGGGAGGCAGCAGUAGGGAAUCUUCCGCAAUGGGCGAAAGCUUGACGGAGAAACGCCGCGUGAGUGAUGAAGGUCUUCGGAUCGUAAAACUCUGUUAUUAGGGAAGAACAAAUGUGUAAGUAACUAUGCACGUCUUGACGGUACCUAAUCAGAAAGCCACGGCUAACUACGUG